rnacentral:rRNA from 1 species
UACGUAGGGGGCAAGCGUUGUCCGGAUUUAUUGGGCGUAAAAAGCGUGUAGGCGGCUUUGCAAGUCCGUUGUGAAAACUCGAGGCUCAACCUCGAGACGCCGGUGGAAACUGCAAAGCUAGAGUCCGGAAGAGGAGAGUGGAAUUCCUGGUGUAGCGGUGAAAUGCGCAGAUAUCAGGAAGAACACCCGUGGCGAAGGCGGCUCUCUGGGACGGUACUGACGCUGAGACGCGAAAGCGUGGGGAGCGAACAGG